rfam:Salmo salar isolate Sally breed double haploid chromosome ssa06, whole genome shotgun sequence.
UAGUAUCACUACUGUAAGUCGCUCUGGAUAAGGGCGUCGGCUAAAUGACAUAAA